rnacentral:lncRNA from 1 species
CACAAACCACUUAUUAGGGACACAAACCCCUGCUUGGUGAUCCAAACCCCUCCCUGGGGACACAAACCCGUUAUUGGGGACACAAAUCCCUCCCUGGGGACACAAACCACUUAUUGGGGACACAAACCCCUCCCUGGGGACACAAACCACUUAUUGGGGACACAAACCCCUCCCUGGGGACACAAACCCCUUACUGGGGACACAAACCCCUCCCUGGGGACACAAACCCGUUAUUGGGGACACAAACCCCUUACUGGUGACACAAACCCUUCCUGGGCGACCCCAGAGCCCCCCCAGAGCCCCCUGACCUGCGGACGCGGCGCCGCGCUCGCCGCCGGUGGUAGUCGCCCUUGGCGAAGUCCUCCAGGUUGGCGGGGUGGAUGGCCCAGAAAUGGCCUUUGCCGUUGUCGCUGCGGCCGGCCUUGACGAAGCACUCGUUGAGGGACAGGUUGUGGCGGACGCUGUUGCGCCAGCUCUUCUCCUGAGUCCAGAGGGGGCAGUCAGGCCCUGAGGGGGCACUCAGGCCCACAGGGGUCAGUCAAAGCCCUGAGGGGGUCAGUCGGGUCCAGAGGGGUCAAUCGGGCCCAGAGGGGUCAGCCAGGACCUGAGGGGUCACUCAGCCCCACAGGGGUCACUCAUCCCACAAGGGUCACUCAGCCCACAGGGGUCACUCAGCCCACAGGGGUCACCCAGUUCGAGCCCCCCGGCCCCACCAGUCCCACCCCGCUCCCGGCCCGGGCUCCACGGGCGCUCUCCCGGCGGGCCGGGAUCAGCCAGCCCAGCAGGGCCGAAACGAGCCCGCAGACCCCGAGCCCGGCAGCAGCGAGGCCCGCACGGCACCGACGGUUCCCUGGGGGAUCGGCUCAGCGACUUCCCCACCCCACAGCAACCCCAAACUUUGGAAAUCGGGAGAAAUCCCCCGCAGCGCUCCCCCACCUUGUUCUUGAAGUAGGGGUAGUUGUCCAUGAUCCACUGGUAGAUGUCGGAGAGCAGCAGCUUCUUCUCGGGGGAGGAGAGGAUGGCGGUGGAGAUGAGGGCGAUGUAGGACUGGGCGGGUUUGUCGCCGGGGUCCGGCGGGGGCCGGCCCCCCCCCCCCCCCCCCCCCCCCCCCCCCCCCCCCCCCCCCCCCCCCCCCCCCCCCCCCCCCCCCCCCCCCCCCCCCCCCCCCCCCCCCCCCCCCCCCCCCCCCCCC